UAAUGUCUGGGAAACUGCCUGAUGAGGGGGAGUAACUACUGGAAACGGUAGCUAAUACCGCAUAAUGUCGCAAGACCAAAUGGGGACCUUCGGGCCUCAUGCCAUCAGAUGUGCCCAGAUGGGAUUAGCUAGUAGGUGGGGUAACGGCUCACCUAGGCGACGAUCCCUAGCUGGUCUGAGAGGAUGACCAGCCACACUGGAACUGAGACACGGUCCAG
rnacentral:rRNA from 1 species